ACCGGAACGGCGCAGAGAUGUGUCGGCCACUUGUGGCCGGUUUACAGGUGGUGCAUGGUUGUCGUCAGCUCGUGUCGUGAGAUGUUGGGUUAAGUCCCGCAACGAGCGCAACCCUCGUUCCAUGUUGCCAGCGGGUUAUGCCGGGGACUCAUGGGAGACUGCCGGGGUCAACUCGGAGGAAGGUGGGGACGACGUCAAAUCAUCAUGCCCCUUAUGUCUUGGGCUUCACGCAUGCCACAAUGGCCGGUACAAAGGGUUGCGAUGCUGUGAGGUGGAGCUAAUCCCAAAAAGCCGGUCUCAGUUCGGAUUGAGGUCUGCAACUCGACCUCAUGAAGUCGGAGUCGCUAGUAAUCGCAGAUCAGCA
rnacentral:rRNA from 1 species